AAAUAAGGAAGGGAGGGGGAGAGGAAGGAGAGUACAGGAGGAAGGCAGGAGAGAGCGUUCUGUCUUAUUCCUACCAGAGCGAGAGAGGCAGGUGGUCGAGGCAGCGGUGGGAAGUAAGAUACGAGACAGAUGUUGCAUAGGCUGGCCCUGCCUUGCCUUUCAACGAGUGACCAGUCUGCAUCACGCUUUUCACUACUAGUUGGGUUGGGAUACUGGAGGUGGCUUGUCCUGAUCUGUGAAACUUCUUGAACACAGCAUGCGGGAGAUGGCACUGCGCCGCUGCGGAGAGUCCUGUAUCGUCCUUCACGCUGCUUGCCCAAAAUGGAGUCCACCAACACGACAGAAAUUAUGAGGCGGCCGUCCGUCCAUUCCUGUGGGUGUGUGCAUGUCUGCCUUCAAUAUAUAUAUAUAAUGAAUGUACUUAUGGUCAUAAUUAGUUGUGUUGCUGCUGAUGAAUGAGCCAUGGCUAAGAGUUCGGAAGACUCCCCCAAUUGACUUUAUUUAUUUAUAAUUUUUUUUUUUUUAAACAAAGAAAUUUCCCAGUU